rnacentral:RNase_P_RNA from 1 species
GCGGUGAGUCAAGCUGCCGCGUCCUUAGUGUUUAAAACGAGCACUUAAGAUGAGGAAAGUCCGGGCUCCGUAGGGCACGAUGCCGGGUAACACCCGGGGUUCGGUUUUUAACCGAAAACAGAAAGCGCAGCAGAAAAUAAACCGCCUUAAGCGUCUUGAAAACAGGCGCCGGGUAAGGGUGAAAAGGCGGGGUAAAAGCCCACCGCGGAACCGGUAACGGUUCCGGCAGUGUAAGCCUCAUCGGGAGCAAAAUCAAACAGCGGCGGGACUGCCCGUCCGUCUCGCUUAAAAAAGCGGGAACGCCGCGGGUAGAUUGCGAACAUUUCUUCCGCAAGGACGAAAGAAGAUAGAUGGCAACGCUUUACGCUUUUUUGUAAAACAAAAAAACGUGAAGAACAGAACCCGGCUUAUGACUCACUGCUUUU